GAGUUUGAUCUUGGCUCAGAUUGAACGCUGGCGGCAGGCCUAACACAUGCAAGUCGAGCGGUAGAGAGAAGCUUGCUUCUCUUGAGAGCGGCGGACGGGUGAGUAAUGCCUAGGAAUCUGCCUGGUAGUGGGGGAUAACGCUCGGAAACGGACGCUAAUACCGCAUACGUCCUACGGGAGAAAGCAGGGGACCUUCGGGCCUUGCGCUAUCAGAUGAGCCUAGGUCGGAUUAGCUAGUUGGUGAGGUAAUAGGCUCACCAAAGGCGACGAUCCGUAACUGGUCUGAGAGGAUGAUCAGUCAACACUGGAACUGAGACACGGUCCAGACUCCUACGGGAGGCAGCAGUGGGGAAUAUUGGACAAUGGGCGAAAAGCCUGAUCCAGCCAUGCCGCGUGUGUG
rnacentral:rRNA from 1 species